rnacentral:rRNA from 1 species
UACAGAGGGUGCGAGCGUUAAUCGGAAUUACUGGGCGUAAAGCGUGCGUAGACGGUUAUUUAAGUCGGGUGUGAAAGCCCCGGGCUCAACCUGGGAAUUGCAUUCGAGACUGAAUAGCUAGGGUACGGUAGAGGGAAGUGGAAUUCCGGUGUAGCUGGUGAAAUGCGUAGAUAUCGGAAGGAACAUCAGUGGCGAAAGCGACUUCCUGGACCAGUACCGACGUUCAGGCACGAAAGCGUGGGGAGCAAACAGGA